CCUACGGGAGGCAGCAGUGAGGAAUAUUGGUCAAUGGACGAGAGUCUGAACCAGCCAAGUAGCGUGAAGGAUGACUGCCCUAUGGGUUGUAAACUUCUUUUAUAUGGGAAUAAAAUGUUCCACGUGUGGGAUUUUGUAUGUACCAUAUGAAUAAGGAUCGGCUAACUCCGUGCCAGCAGCCGCGGUAAUACGGAGGAUCCGAGCGUUAUCCGGAUUUAUUGGGUUUAAAGGGAGCGUAGGUGGAUUGUUAAGUCAGUUGUGAAAGUUUGCGGCUCAACCGUAAAAUUGCAGUUGAUACUGGCAGUCGUGAGUACAGUAGAGGUGGGCGGAAUUCGUGGUGUAGCGGUGAAAUGCUUAGAUAUCACGAAGAACUCCGAUUGCGAAGGCAGCUCACUGGACUGCAACUGACACUGAGGCUCGAAAGUGUGGGUAUCAAACAGGAUUAGAGACCCUUGUAGUC
rnacentral:rRNA from 1 species